UUGCGGGUGAAAGUCCCGUCGUAGAAAGGGUUUAGCCAGACCACUACGUAGCGAGUCUUGCGUCUCCGGCGGUAACAAAGGAGAUGAAGCGUAGACAGCGAAACACUCGAGCCGAAACCAAA
rnacentral:autocatalytically_spliced_intron from 1 species